CUUGAUGUCCUUUGUAUGUUUGAUGAUAUGUUUGUACAUACACAGAGCAGAAAACAACAUUUCCCCAUUGGGGUGAAAAAAGUAAUUAUCUUAUCUUGUGAUGAGGAAAGUAUUGGCUGUAAGGGGUUAGAGAAAAUGUAUUUUCUCAUUUUGAUAUUAUUAUUUGCCAGAAUAAAUGUCGUGAAUAACUGCUUUACCAACUCCAGUCAGCAGAUGGCGAUGUGAGUCUUUCAGUUGAUUUUUUUGUUGUUGUACAUAAUCUAGUGGACGGGACGGGACUCUUCCUAAAAACAAAAUGGCAACUAAGUCAGCCACCUCGGUAGCUUACUAGCCAACAAUAAACUGAUGCAUUGAAAUUCCUUUGAUAAUGUGUAUAUUAAUCUGUGUUUUUAACACAAUUUAAACGUAAUAUGCUUGUUAAAUGUACAACAUUGUUAAGAUUGAUACUGAGCCUAGCACUAGGCUAGUCACUAAUGCUAGCUAGCUAGAUAACAUCCCUGACCAUGAGCUCACUAAACUACUCAUCCCUUGCUGAAGAAGCGGAGGUCUGCUGGACGGAGAAAGAAGCUCUGGGGCUGAACAUUAUCGUGGAAGAAGAAGAGGAGGAUAUUACAGUGAAAGGAGAUGAAGAAGAUGUCAGUAUUAAAAAGGAGGAUGUUACAGUGAAAGAAGAGAAAGAACCGUUUGGAAUGAAAGAGGAAGAGGGAAUAGAGUAUGUAACAGUGGAAGAGGAGAAGGUAGAAGCUUUCAGAAUUAAAGAGGAGGAAGUUACAGUGAAAGAAGAGAAAGAACCGUUUGGAGUGGAAGAGGAGGCUGUUACAGUGGAAGAGGAGGAGAUAGGAGCUUUCAGAAUGGAAGAGGAGGAUAUCAUAUUGAAAGAGGAGGCUGUUACAUUGGAAGAAGAGAAAGAACCGUUUGGAGUGGAAGAGGAGGCUCCCUCAAUAAAAAAGGAGGACAUUGUGGGAGUGAAAGAAAAGGAAGAAUGGGGAGGAGACUGAAGACCUGAUUAACACCAGUGAGUAUGGUCUUUGAAACAGGGGCACAAACUCAGGCAGUUGUUGAACCAAUGUGUGGUUUUUAA
ensembl:lncRNA